rnacentral:rRNA from 1 species
UUGCCAUACUCCUACGGGAGGCAGCAGUGGGGGAUAUUGCACAAUGGGUGAAACCCUGAUGCAGCGACGCCGCUUGGGCGAAGAAGUAUUUCGGUAUGUAAAGCCCUAUCAGCAGGGAAGAAGAAAUGACGGUACCUGAGUAAGAAGCACCGGCUAAAUACGUGCCAGCAGCCGCGGUAAUACGUAUGGUGCAAGCGUUAUCCGGAUUUACUGGGUGUAAAUGGAGCGCAGGCGGCACGGCAAGCCUGAUGUGAAAGCCCGAGGCCCAAACGAGGGACUGCAUUGGGAACUACCGGGAUGGAGUGCCGGAGAGGUAGGCGGAAUUACUAGUGUAGAGGUGAAAUGAGUAGAUAUUAGGAGGAACACCAGUGGAGAAGGCGGACUAAUGGAAGGUGACUGAAGAUGAGGAUAGAAAGAGUGGGGAGCAAAAAGGAUUAGAUACACGAGUA